UAUUCCUGGUGUUUAGCAAUCUGAGAGAUUUCAACAUAUGUGGCUUGUCGACACGUCUGGUGGGUGUCGAGACAAGUUGGAGUCGUUUUGCCGCGAAAUAGAUACAAAACAGACUCAGCGUGAUGCGAGAGUGGAGUUCUGAUACUGAAUUUGCAAAGUGCAGGAUUUUAGUGUUGAAUACCGGUACCUAGGGAGGAGU
rnacentral:lncRNA from 1 species